rnacentral:lncRNA from 1 species
AGUCUUCAGCCAGGCAGGGUAAUGAAUUGUUUUGGCAUCUGGUUCUUGUUGCUUUGGAGACCACAGGAGAGGCGGUGGUGAUGGCCCAUCGCUUCAGCCCUGUGGCAUCCCCACAGGAUCCAUGGGCAUCAAGUAAUUUCCCUGUGCUCCUCUGAAGAUAAACCGCUGCCUGCACCAGCCUAGCAGCUUCCAGAAGCUGUGGAUGAGAAGCAAUCUCCCACCAAAAGCCAGAGCUCACCUGCAAAGCUUCAAUCCCAAGCAGAAGGAAGCCUCCGUUUUUUCCCCCCAGAUGAGCCUGAAUUCACCUCCAGAAAGUCUCAAUGCAUCACACCAAGGGUCACACACCUGCUCAUGGUUCUUCUUGAGGCAAAGCAGCUCCUCCUUCAGGGACUCCAGCUGGGCCUCCAGGUCACACUUGGCGAGGGUGAGGUUGUCUAGCACCCUGCGCAGGCCACAGAUGUCAGCCUCCACCAGCUGUUGCAGCGAGCGCUCUCUCUCGUACCUGUAACAGGGAAAGUGCAGGAGUGACAGUUAGAGGGCAGGAAGGGGCACCAGGACAUGACUCCCAGCUCGCAGCUGUAAGUCCACUGGCCUGCCCUUUGCCAUCUAAUUGUGAGUUGGCUUAUCCUGUGUAGUGUGCUCAAAGCCCAGAAAGCAACAGGAUGUUCCCCACUCAGUCAAUACUAAGCACCUGAGAUGAACCAAGGGGAGCAGCUGGUACUGAGGAUACUGUGAUGGACACACAGCCAGCACCUGCCUUUACACACAAUGGCCCAAAAGGGAGGUGGCAAAGUAACCAGGCAUUUGCAACACAGUGCAAUCACUGCAGGCCCCUCUCUACAAGCCCCAUACCCAAAGGGACCCUGGAUUCCCUAUUAGAGUAAAAGCCACAUUGCCAGCAUGAGAGGAAGGAAAUGGCUUUCUUUAGCUCUAGAAGAGUGAGACUUGCACAGUGCCCCGAAGAAAGAUGAUAAAACACAAUGCCCUUCCAGCACCCAGGGUAGACCCUCCUCAGGUGGUGUCAACCCUUUGACUUUCACAUGUUUUCAUCUUAGGCUAUGGAGCAUGAUUUCUGCUAUGAAUUAUCAGCACUCACAAAUUAAUCAAGCUGCAGCACAGAAACAUAUCCUUAUUAAGGCAACAGUUUCACAGGAAAUUGCUUCAAGAAAGGAAAAUUUGGUACAAAAUUUAAGGCCAAGUCCCAGCUCUGCCACUCGGUACCCACAUGGCUUCUGGCAAGUCACACCAGCACCCCAAGCCUCAGGGUCCCCACCUGUGGAGGAGAUUCUAUCCCUGCCCGCCUGCUUCACAAGUUGCUUACCAGGUGGAUGAUGCAUUCUAGCACAUGUUGUAAACUGUUAAUGCUAAACCACUGGAGAGCGGAUAGUUUUUCAGGAUCUUGAGCUUAAUGCCCUUUGUUCUCUUCUGCUAUAACUACUGGGUUGGGGUCUGGGUCAAUGACAUCCGAUGCCACAUGAGACAGAAGCAGCCAACUUGGCAUUGUCCCAUCCCCAUCCAACCCCAACUCUCACUUGGCUCCUUCCCAUCCCUGUCCAACCCCAACUCACUUGGUCCUGAAGUCAUCUGCAGCCAAUUUGGCAUUGUCUAUUUGCACAACCAGCCUAUUGUUCUCCGAUUUGGUGCACAGAAUCUGGGGUAAGAAAGUAGGCUCAGUAAGUGACUUACUGAUCCCAGAGACACCUAUAGCCUCAGGUGAGAGGAAGUUUUAUUGGCUGAAGUUGAACCUACAGCAUCCGCCUGGACAACACAAACUCCCAAACGUGCAAGAGAUGCUUUUGUGGUGUGGGAAGGAAGAUGUGCAAGAGACUUCUUGGAAAAGGAUGAAGACAUAGAGUCAAAGGAACCAGGAGAUGGAAGACAGUAGCAAACUGAACAUAUAACAAAGACUUGCUUUCAUUUUGCCAGAUAUGAUGCUUAGCCCAAUAUAAAUAAGAAGAUCUGGCCGGACGCAGUGGCUCAUGCCUGUAAUCCCCGCACUUUGGGAGACCAAGGCAGAUGGAUCACCUGAGACAGCUGCAAAGAUUUCGAGGUGGAAGAGAGCUCACUGAGAGACCGGAAAAAGACUUCAUGGAGUAGGGGAUUUUCCAAAUAUGUUUUGAAUGAUAUUUUUUAUAAAGGGUUGGGGAAUGAGCUUCUCUCAUAGAGAACAAAAUAAACACAAUCAAACAUUUGGAAAAUG